rnacentral:rRNA from 1 species
AGCAGCCGCGGUAAUUCCAGCUCCAAUAGCGUAUAUUAAAGUUGUUGCAGUUAAAAAGCUCGUAGUUGAACUUCGGGAUUUGCCCAUUGGUCAGGCUUAACUGUCUGCACUGGUGUGACGAGUUCCUACCUUCUGAGGAAUCUCCAUGUCAUUCAGUUGGUGUGGGGGGAAAUCAGGACUGUUACUUUGAAAAAAUUAGAGUGUUUAAAGCAGGCAUCCGUCUGAAUACAUUAGCAUGGAAUAAUAAAAUAGGACGGUUUGGUUCUAUUUUGUUGGUUUCUAGGAUCACCGUAAUGAUUAAUAGGGAUAGUUGGGGGCAUUAGUAUUCAAUUGUCAGAGGUGAAAUUCUUGGAUUUAUUGAAGACUAACUACUGCGAAAGCAUUUGCCAAGGAUGUUUUCAUUAAUCAAGAACGAAAGUUAGGGGAUCGAAGACGAUCAGAUACUGUCGUAGUCUUAACCAUAAACUAUGCCGACUAGGGAUCGGACGAAGUUAAUUUUUAAUGACUCGUUCGGCACCUU